CCUACGGGCGGCUGCAGUGAGGAAUAUUGGUCAAUGGACGAGAGUCUGAACCAGCCAAGUAGCGUGAAGGAUGACUGCCCUAUGGGUUGUAAACGUCUUGUAUAAAGGAAUAAAACGAGGCACGUGGGCCGUUUUGCAUGUACUUUAUGAAUAAGGAGCGGCUAACUCCGUGCCAGCAGCCGCGGUAAUACGGAGGAUCCGAGCGUUAUCCGGAUUGAGUGGGGUGAAAGGGAGCGUAGAUGGGUUGUUAAGUCCGUUGUGACAGUUUGCGGCUCAACCGUAAAAUUGCAUUUGAUACUGGCAGUCUUGAGUACAGUUGAGGUAGGCGGACUUC
rnacentral:rRNA from 1 species